rnacentral:rRNA from 1 species
AGUAGAGUGGCGAACGGGUGAGUAACGCGUGGAUGAUCUGCCUGGUAGUGGGGGAUAACUCGGGGAAACCCGGGCUAAUACCGCAUGCGCCCUGUAAAGGGGAAAGGUUUUUAAUUGCUAUCAGAGUGAGUCCGCGUCCGAUUAGCUGGUUGGUAGGGUAAUGGCUUACCAAGGCGACGAUCGGUAGCCGGUCUGAGAGGACGGACGGCCACACUGGGACUGAGACACUGGCCCAGACUCCUACGGGAGGCAGCAGUGGGGAAUUUUGGGCAAUGGGCGCAAGCCUGACCCAGCAACGCCGCGUGGAGGAUGAAAGUUUUCGAAU